UCAACCCUAAGGAAUUCUUCUUCGCUAACAAUGCCCUUUUGAUCGGGUAAGGGCUUGUUCGGUCAGGUCGUGAGGUGAAGGAUGUUGUUAUAAUGAUGGGGGAUUUGGUGGUGAGAGGAUAAUAGACAUGCGAGAGGACUUGGGUAAGAUUGAUGAGGGGGAGUUUCAAUUUUUGGAUGAGGACUGGAAUUGAAGGAUUUGGAUUUUGGAGGAGGCAAUGAGAGAGUUAGGGGUCAGAUUGCAAGAGGUUUAGGGUCGAUGGCCACGUCUAGCUUUCGACUUUUUUCCUUUUUAUACGAGUUAGACGCGUCAUCGUGGACAUUUCUCCUCUUGAGUAGUGGUGGCAGCGGAGAAGCCUCUUCUUCUUCUCUGUCAUUCCAUUCUUCUCCCUUAACUUUAUUUAAGGUUUUGAGGUGUCUCUCUUCUUCUUUAUUUUGAUGGAGUGUUAUGGUUUGGUUGAGAUUCGCCUGAGAACAUGCAUAAGGGGUGAUUGCAGAAAAGCUAAAAGCUUAGGAACCGUCGGAGGAAGGGCAUAUCAUUAAUUGUAUGUAACGCCUUCCUCUUACGUGGUGGCAGCAACGUUGAGAAUAGAUUUAGGGAUUCCCGACGUAUCAUUAAUCGCGUGGGAAUAUGUUUAGGGAUUUCUGACGUUUAACAAAUCAGGUCAUGAAUAGGGUGCUAUUCCCGACAUUUUCGUCGUGCGUCAGGAGUUCUCUGUCUUUUUUAACUCCAUUCUUUACAUAAAGGAAACAUAAAGAGAAAGAAAAUGAGAGAGGGAGAGGGAGACCGAGAGGAAGAUUGAGAAGAAGAGGGCAUUGUCAUCACCAUUGUCGUCCCUGUUGUCGUCCCGUCGUCGUCGCCAUCGGUAAGUGGUUUAGUUUAGUUAUUGUUUUGUUUUAGUUAAUUAGUUUUAGUAUUUAGAUUUCAAAUUUGUUUUAGGUGUUAGAUUUUAGAUUUCUUUAGUAUUUAGAUUUUGAAUUAGUUGUAAGUUUUAGUAAUGAAAUUUAAUUUCAAGUGUUGUUAGAAUUUUGAAUUAGUUGUAGGUUUUAGAAAUUUGAAUUUGAAGUGUUGAAGUUGAGAUUGAAGUGUUGAAGUUGAGGUUGAAGUGUUGAAGUUGAGUUUGAAUUUAAAAUUUUCAAUUUGAAUUUAGGAAUUAAAUGAAGUUAUUUUUUUUAAAAAAAAAUAGAGGAUCUCCCGACGCAUGGUUCCUAGACAUCUCUCGAUGCUAUAUUGACAACAUCUUCGACGUUCAUACAACGUCGGAAGAUGUCUAGAAACCCUCAACGCACAACAUUGUGCAUCGGGAGUUCCUCUCCCGAUACAUUUUUCCUCACUUGUGUUCCGACGUAUAUUAGUGCGUCAGAAAAGCCUUUUCUGACGCUUUUUAUAUAUCUCCCAAUGAUUUUAUGCAUCGAGAGAGUCCUCAUUUCUUGUAGUGUUAGACAAAGAGCUUCAAUGUGGUAGAGGGGAAAGGCAUGACACCUUUAGGUGCUUUCAUCAAAGGGAGGAUUGAGGUUCUGAUUAUGGCGCUAAGGUUAACUGCCAUCUUCUUCUUAAUGCAAUAAAUCAUCAUUGUGCACUCUAGUGGGAUGGUGUUGUUGUCAACCAGGCAGGCGGUUUCGUUUUCAAGUCUUAGGUCUUAAUUCUUAACAACCUUUGAGUAUUGAUGCUCUACCCCAACCCUCAUCCAAAACGAUAACUAACACAAUGGUUUGGAAGUUUUUGUGAAACAUCAUCUAUACUUUUUCUUUAAUGGUCGAUGAAAAAAAAGUCAGGAAAAUGGUAUUUCUGACCAUUUUAAGUGUUACCAAAAUAUCACAUUUGGUGUAGUAUGGUAUUGUUUUGAAUAUUUUUGUAAAAUAGUGGAUCAAGAAGUUUUACUAAGAUAAAGUUUCAUGUUGGACAAGAGGAUAGUGGAUGGGAAUUAAGUUGAAUGGUCCACUUUUUUUUUAAAUCCUUUAAGGUUUUAUGAAAACCUUUCACAAUACCUUUUCAUAAUCAUUUUGUAAAAAUAAUAUCAAAUCAUUUAAAUAUACCGAAAAAUUAUUUCAUUUCGAAUAAACCUUUCUUUAUGCUUAAAAAAUCAUUUCAUUUUGUCAAGGAUCCCGAAUCGUUCUCUACGCUUGGUCUCAUUACCUCGCGUUUAGACUACUGUAUCAACAGCAUCUGAGAACAUACAAAUUCGUCUUUGUUGCUAUACCGCUAAGCUUUAUACGCUCAUUUCAAUGCAUAAGUCAGCUUCUUAUUACCAUGUAGUUUGUACACUCCAUGGUGGCCUUCACUCUUUAUGUGCACACAAAAGUUAGCAUCAUCUCAAAGAAACAUAGUAUUGAAAUCAUAGUCAUCAAAUCAAGCUUUAAUAUUAUAAAUAAUGCUUGAAAACAUAACUUUUCGUAGAAAUCUUUCUGAAACAUUCUCAUCUGAAUUCUUCUUUCAAAUCAGUAAAGAGAAAUCGUAAUAAAGUUUCUUAACAUAAAUUCUUUUGACUGAAAAGCACUCACCAAACUUCACUAAAGAAGUCCUUCUCACAACCAUCUUUUCGCGUGGCUAAACCAACAACACUUUAACAUUUCAACAAAACUCUCGUCAUCCCCUCCUUAGUUACCUAAAUUCUCCUAUUUUAUAGAUCCCUUAUACUAACUUAGUCAUGCAAAUCCUUAAUAUUUAACCUAGUCAUGCUCAAAUCCUUAAUCUUACAUGUUAACCCAUGUCAAAUCAGAUUUGACAUUUUCUUUACAAACCUUGCUCCCCGCCUAACCCAAACCGUGAAUAAAUUCAACCACUUAACAUUUCUCGUGAAUAACCUUAUCGCUUGAUUAUAUUUUUAUUAUAAGAAACGUUCCACCUGAACUAACCAACUUUUACUCGCAUAAAACUCUUAUCACGAACUUAAACUCCAAGGCUUCCUCGUAGACUUCUUCUCCACGAAACACUUGGUUCUUCUCGCGAAGACCACCCAAAACUCCUAGUCUAACACUCAAAACUUUCAUUUCUUAACUUACGCAAAGACUUUUUCGCUUCUUAUCUGUAACGACCCAACUUUUUACCUAAGUCGAGGUCAUUAACUUUUGACAAAAGACCUUGGUUAAUUAAAAUUUAAAACCUCAAAAGAACAAAAUUUAUUUUGUUUGUUUGGGCCCCAGUUUUAAAUUACUAAAAUUCACAUGAAAAUUUAAAACUAAAAAGUUUCAAAUCUUUGAAUACUUUAAAACUUCAAAAUUUUCUAAACAGUCUCACGUUCGAAUACAAAUAAUACUAUAAAUCACUAAGCGGAAGCAAAAUUUUAAAGUGUCCCCUGUGGCGGUCACGCUUCCUUCCUGCCCCUCGCCGGUUUGCUGCCUUUAUUACCUUUGCCUGAAAAAUUAAACAUAAGGAGGGUGAGUAUAAAAAUACCCAGUAAGAGACCCUCUACUGGUCCCGUCAGGGGAAAAUAAAUUGUUAACAUUCUAUUGGGACACCCUGUACAGUCGCAGUCUUGUGAUCCCGUAGGAUGCACAUUUCAGUCUAACGCCCCGAGGGACGUACAUUUCAGUCUAGUGUUCUGCAGAAACACAUAUCAGUCUAAUGCUCCGAAGGUCGCAUAAAAAUUGGUGAUCCCGUAGGACACCUACAAGGCAUACAUCCCAAUAAAACUAACAAUUUUUCCCCUCAAUCCAUUCUAACCAUCUUUACGGUAAUUUAUGACAUCUUUCAGUUACUUCAAAAUAUAAAGUUCUUUCACUCAACAUUCUAACAGUCAACCUAUCUCACUUAAGUUCGAAGGUCGUUGAUAACAUUUUAAUACAUCUGUCAAGUAAACAACAAAGUCACAACACCCCUCAUUUUUACCAGCGCAAACCACAGUUCAGUAUAAUCCACAUUCAACCGAAACAAAUUCACUAGUUCACAUCCAAAUCUUUAUACAGCACAAUCUAUUAAUAUCAUCAUGUACACAUAAGCAUAAUUUCAGUCAUUCACAUGUAUACUUUCGGCAAUCCACAUCAAUUCACACAUCAAUGUAUUUAUAUAUAUGUUUCCAGUCAAAUACAACAUACACUAAACAUUUAGUCUGCAACCAAACGUGUACAUCUUAAUCAUCAUCCAUACAGUCCAACACAACUCAAAAACUUUAGGUGAGUCCAGUAGAAAGUCCCUUACCUCAAAGUUAGGGAAGCUCCCUUAAUCAACUAUCGUCCACGAAACAAUCCAAAUAAGGGCAAACGAAAUCGAAAUCAAAAUUCACAAAUUGGUUGUGAAUUUAAGUGAUCCAAGGUUACCUUUCACACCUUCAAGAAUAAUUUAUCAAAUUAGUCAAUUAACCCAUCCGUAACGUUUGAACACCUUGAAAACAUCACAACCCAUACUUAAAUUGUUUUGAAAACGACUACAAUUUCAUAACUUCAAUCUUACCAACAAUACUUCGACGGAUCUCAGUAAAAAUAGGGGCAGCGGCAAUCGAUUCUAAACAAAAACCAUCGUGCAAACAGAUUAGAGUGUACGUCGGUUUGUGAAUCGCGGUUAGAAGAAAAAACACGUUGCUGGAAGAAGAGGAAACGCGCGGCUAGAAGGAGGCGUGCGCGCUGCCUCAAAAUCGAUCGACGAUCUGACGCGGCGACU
rnacentral:lncRNA from 1 species